GAUGAACGCUGGCGGCGUGCCUAAUACAUGCAAGUCGAGCGAACAGACGAGGAGCUUGCUCCUCUUACGUUAGCGGCGGACGGGUGAGUAACACGUGGAUAACCUACCUAUAAGACUGGGAUAACUUCGGGAAACCGGAGCUAAUACCGGAUAAUAUAUUGAACCGCAUGGUUCAAUAGUGAAAGACGGUUUUGCUGUCACUUAUAGAUGGUUCCGCGCCGCAUUAGCUAGUUGGUAAGGUAACGGCUUACCAAGGCAACGAUGCGUAGCCGACCUGAGAGGGUGAUCGGCCACACUGGAACUGAGACACGGUCCAGACUCCUACGGGAGGCAGCAGUAGGGAAUAUUCCGCAAUGGGCGAAAGCUUGACGGAGCAACGCCGAGUGAGUGAUGAAGGUCUUCGGAUCGUAAAACUCUGUUAUUAGGGAAGAACAAAUGUGUAAGUAACUAUGCACGUCUUGACGGUACCUAAUCAGAAAGCCACGGCUAACUACGUG
rnacentral:rRNA from 1 species